GCCGAGGUGGUGAAAUUGGUAGACGCACUGGAUUCAAAAUCCAGCGGACUUUGGUCCAUGGGGGUUCGAUUCCCCCCCUCGGCA
rnacentral:tRNA from 1 species